rnacentral:rRNA from 1 species
GACGAACGCUGGCGGCGUGCUUAACACAUGCAAGUCGAACGGAAAGGCCCUGCUUGCAGGGUACUCGAGUGGCGAACGGGUGAGUAACACGUGGGUGAUCUGCCCUGCACUUCGGGAUAAGCCUGGGAAACUGGGUCUAAUACCGGAUAGGAGCCAUUUUUAGUGUGAUGGUUGGAAAGUUUUUUCGGUGUAGGAUGAGCUCGCGGCCUAUCAGCUUGUUGGUGGGGUAAUGGCCUACCAUGGCGGCGACGGGUAGCCGGCCUGAGAGGGUGGACGGCCACAUUGGGACUGAGAUACGGCCCAGACUCCUACGGGAGGCAGCAGUGGGGAAUAUUGCACAAUGGGCGCAAGCCUGAUGCAGCGACGCCGCGUGGGGGAUGACGGCCUUCGGGUUGUAAACUCCUUUCGCUAGGGACGAAGCUUUUUGUGACGGUACCUAGAUAAGAAGCACCGGCUAACUACGUG